rnacentral:rRNA from 1 species
GACGAACGCUGGCGGCGUGCUUAACACAUGCAAGUCGAGCGGUAAGGCCCCUUCGGGGGUACACGAGCGGCGAACGGGUGAGUAACACGUGAGCAAUCUGCCCAUCACAUCGGGAUAACUCCGGGAAACCGGAGCUAAUACCGAAUACGACCACCUCCGGCAUCGGAUGGUGGUGGAAAGUUCCGGCGGUGAUGGAUGAGCUCGCGGCCGAUCAGGUUGUUGGUGGGGUAACGGCCCACCAAGGCUUCGACGGGUAGCCGGCCUGAGAGGGUGACCGGCCACACUGGGACUGAGACACGGCCCAGACUCCGACGGGAGGCAGCAGUGGGGAAGAUUGGACAAUGGGCGAAAGCCUGAUCCAGCAACGCCGCGUGAGGGAUGACGGCCUUCGGGUUGUAAACCUCUUUCAGCAGGGACGAAGCGCAAGUGACGGUACCUGCAGAAGAAGCACCGGCCAACUACGUGCCAGCAGCCGCGGUAACAC